UCGCCAAAAUCAACUGAUGCCUGUUGAUACUCGACAAUUAACUUCUAACCAUUUAGUCAGUUCAUCCUCUGAGUUGUCAACCCUUCAAGUGAAAGAAAGAGAUCAAAGCAGUGACUAUUCAGCACAAACACCUUCCCUGCUAAAUCCUACGACCCACAACAACAAAGGAGAUUCAGCUGAAGGGUUUCCUAUGCUGUCUGCUCCUCAGCCUCAGGUUAUAUUCAGUUCGCCUCAGCAGAGCUCCUCUUCUGGUAUGAGAUCUGACUCAGGAGCCGGUAUUUUAGCACCGCAACAUCGGUUUUGGAACCAGCCACCUAAGCCUCAGCUAGAUAUAUUACGGCCGCAUCCAGUUACCAAUAGCCACGUAGAAGACAUCUUCUCAAGGCAGGAGAAGAGAAAUCAAUUAUCCUCUCAAAAUGGAGGAGACAUGUCAUUAAGUGGGAGGGACAUGGUGAAUAUGCAUGAGUUGCAGGGUCAAGAUAUGGGUGCAAAACAAACAGCUGGUGUUGCUUCGAUGUUCUCCAGAAUGGUGCAGAGCAAUCAUCAAACCUUUGAUCGCUCUUUUCCUUCAAACGACCUUCCGAAAGAUAAUAUGCGUCACGAUGAGCUUAUGGCUGAAAAUGGGGGGGCUGACGCACCCAAGAUGACUGUGAAGAGAGGCGAGGAUAGUUCUGUUCAUCUUCAAAAGGUAGCUUCCAAAGAGGAGCAACAGUCACCUUUAAGAUCUGAUGGUUUACUGAGAGAUGGAUUGAAUCACAAGGAAUCAGCGAACCACUUGCUACCUUUCGGCCAAACUGUUUCUCAGAGUUUCUCCAAUAAGAAUCAUUCAGCCGCGGCUGGAACAGAUCAUCAACAACAAAUCAGUCCUCAGAUGGCUCCAUCCUGGUAUAAUCAAUAUGGAACUUUCAAGAACGGACUGGUGCAACCCGUGAAUAAUACAGGGAGACUCACCUCCUUGAACAUAGAAGAAAAAUCUUCUAAUGUUGGGAGUUCAGCUGAUGGCUCACAUAAUGUUCAAUCUCCAAAGCAGUUUAAUACGCAGCAAAUGUCAGGCUCCGCACCAGGAGCGGAGAUUCCCUCAUCUGAGUCAUUGCCUCAUGGUGCAACUCAUACACUUCUGAAGGUUGAUAAACCAAAGAAGCGCAAAACCGCCACAUCAGAGCUUCUAUCUUGGAAUAAAGAAGUCAUGCAUGGUUCCCAGAGGCUUAAGACUCUCAGGUGUGUGGCUUAUGAGCACUAAUAUUGAUUUUUAAUCUUUCAUAUAGAUUACCGUAUUAAUCUACUAUACUCUUUACAGUGAGGCGGAGGUUGAUUGGGCCAGAGCAACUAAUCAAUUUGCUGAAAAGGUGAGUUUCCUCAUUACAUACUUUCUCGCCUGUCUCGUUGUCCAAUGCUGUUGAAUAAGUUGAUGGCUUAUGUUCGCACAGGUGGAAUAUGGGAAUUUACUUGAGGAUGGCCCACGACUCAGAUCAAAGAGAAGGCUUAUAUAUACAACACAACUCAUGCAACAACUAUUUCGCCCGCCUCCUGCUAGGGUAAUAUCUUUGAUUGCUAGCUCAAACUAUGAGUUUGUUGCAUAUACUGCUGCAAGAGGUGCACUAGGAGAUACAUGUAGCUCCACUUUUACUGAUAGGAACGAAUGCCUUUUGCCCCAGAACAAAUCAAACCCGUAAGGAUAUGUACUGUUAUCCUUGAAAUGCUGGAGAGUUUGAGGUUAUGUAUUGACACAAACUUAUCCACUCUUGUGUAGGGUGUCUGAGAGAAGGAAAACUGAAACAAUCAGUGACCAGUACAUCUCCAAAGCUGCUGAAGAUUUCAUUAGCAGGUCACAGAAACUAGAAAAUAACUUUGCAGGGUAAAAGACCAUGCCUAUCUCUCUCUAGUAAUUGAUUUUAGUUCUUAAUGGGUACUCGUUAUGGCGGCUUGAUCUCGUGAACAUCUGUUUUUUCUUUUUCUUUUGCAGACUACAGAACGGAUCAACAAUUGCUGACUUGAUCGUGGAAGUCCAGGAUCUAGAGAAGUUUGCAGUGAUCAAUCGUUUUGCGAAGUUCCACCCAACAUCCUCAUCUACAGACCGGAACGUGAGUUCACUUAGGUUAAACCCACAAAGAUAUGUUACUAUAGCUCCAAUGCCUCAGAAUGUUCCAGACAGGGUACACUGUCUCUCUCUCUAACCAUUGAUGAAUCCAUCAUAUUAUUCUGUUUUUGGCCAGUAGUUCCCAUUCAUAUGUAUCUCGUGCACCAGAUGUUUGUAUUUCUUGGGUGGGUAUGAGUUAGUAGUUGGUCAGGAUUCUGAGAACUGUGAAGGUCUCUAUUGUUAAGAAGCCGGAGAUUUCCUACUAGACAUGAAGAAUUAAUGUAUUCAUGAUCAUAUAUGAUUAUUGCAAGUCAGAAUAUUUUGUAUACUUAGUAAAGAAAAAUUGCUCAUAACAGAAAAUCUAAUAAGGUUACAACCUAUGGUUUCCAGUAAACAAAACAUAGCAAUAUAAUUUCAACAAAGCUAAGAUUCUAAAAAUCUCUUCCUCUGUCUCUUAAGUCACUUAGAGCUUUGUAGAAGCAGUCAAGCUUUAAAGUCACAGAAACUUAACCAGACGGCACACUAAGGAAUAGCUUUCAAACUUUAGAAGGUGGGUCAAAUUUCUUCCCCGACCAUUGCUAAUAUCUCAUCCAUCCUGCAACAAAUAUUCAACACAGGCACAUCAGAAGAGUGGAAUUCGAGCUAGUACCGAUGAACCAACCUAGUCGAAGAAUAUGCAUAAGACUAAAGAAUGGAUUUGACGAACUAAACCGUCCAUAUGAAAACAUGCAUUGAUGUACAUACUCAAAAGGCUGCAUAUGGGCCAUUGGUGGAUUUAGACCUUGUUACUAUCCAGGGCAGAAAUGAAACUACUAACAUAAGUAUAAACAAAAAGAUCCAGUGCAGAAAUGAAAACUACUAACAUCACAAUACUAAAAGCCCGAUAUACAGAGCAGAGAGCACGCCACGUAAGAUAGUUAAUUCAGGCCAAUCAGAAACAUGUAUUUUGACACGUCAUAAUCGCUGGACAUUUUGUGUGGGCUAUGUAAAUUUUUUUAUUCGGCCCAUCUCCACCCGCCCAAAACCUUUUUCGUGCCAAGUUUUGCAAUUCUCAUCUCUGGGACUCUUCCAGCUCGUCUUCUCCAAAUCUCUGAGCUUAUGCCCUAACGUCCUUAGAUCUCAUGUUCUUGAAGUCUCAUCUGGAGCCGACAUAGUUGAGAGCGUCAACACUUACGCUCGCCAGAGAGGGAGAGGUGUCUCCGUGCUCAGUGGUAACGGCACGGUGGCUAACGUCGUUCUCCGUCAGCCGGUGAUGAUUCAUGGGAAUAAUUGCGGAACUGGAGCCGGAGUUGGAGGGGUAAACAUGGAAAGUUUGACAUAAUUCCAUCACUGGUACGGUGCUUCUGCCGCCCACGCCGCCGGGAUCAGGUAGGUUGUCAAUCCAAGAAUUACUAUGACUUUAAAUAAUAAAGAGAGAACGUGUAUUUAUUUAUUUAUCAAUGACCCCACCUUUAUAAAUUAGUAAAUUUUAACGUCAACAAUGCAUAAACGUAGGUUCGGUCAUGUAAAUAUAAUUUUUUAUACUAUCUAACUUAAAAGUGAAGAUUACAGGCUAAAAAUAAAAGAUGCAAUUUUAGUUACUAACUCUGCCAAUUUAAAAUAAUCUUUUUUGCACCAAAUAAAAAAACUCAGAACAAUAAACUUAUUGUAACACAUAUAAAACUACUAAAAAAACUUUUUAACAAAUUCAGAGAAACAUCAAACAUAUAAACAUACCUUCAGCCAUUUGAACACUAAAAAUAACGCUCAUAAACUCACCACAAUUUAACCAGUUUUAGUCACCAAAGCGACUUCCAGUUUACUAAAAAAACCCACGAAACAAUACACAAUUUAACACAAAGUCUCACACCUACUGCACAGUUUCAAUAACAACUUUACAAACUAUUGCAAAUCCUUGGCAACUUAAAGGGUAAUAACAAAAAAAAUCAAUAUCCCCGCGCUUGCGCGGGGGUUGGCCUCUAGUUUGAGUAAUAUUGUAAUAAAAUGGUUUGUAAUGUUCAAAGUUAAAUAAGCCUUGUAGUUAAUUUUUAUUAUAUAUGUAUUUUGUAAACAUGUUUAUUUGAAAUAGUACUGAUGUACAAAUGAGAAGGAAAAAAAUAAAGAGACUUUUAUUUAGAGAACAUUUGGUCUAAUAACAAAACCAAAGCCAUCGCUAAACCGGUGUCAAAAUCUGGACUAACAACCAGAUCAAAAACAUCUGAACCAAACCGGACUCCUUUAGUUCUGGCCUCUUUUCUUUUGAUCUCCACCACUGUCCGGUUUGAUGGGACGUGCAUUAUCUUACACGAUUUACAUCUGUACGAUCCUUUGAUGACGUAAGAGUUCUUCUUAUCGAACGGCGCUGAAUAUACGUACGCCAAAAUGUUGGAAUUGGUGCUCAAAAUAUUCAUCUUCAAGUUCUUCCUCAUGUACCAGAUUGGGCUCUUUGGUACUUUUGCUUCGCCAUUAGUAUAUCCAUUGGUUUUUGGCGUUGUUCUAGUAAAUCUGAAUCCCUCUGAACAUUCUUUUUGGCUUCAUUAUGGCAGGGACAUGUUUUACAAGGCAUAGGAUCAGAAAAUUCACCUACUACAUCUGCUUCAGCCGACAGAAGCGUUGAUAUGUGUAAUCAAGUGAAGAAUUCGUCAAGGUACUUUUCCUUUGGGUUGAAAAGGUUUAGUUUGUCAACUAACUAGCAGAGUACUGUUUUCACAAAUAUUCAUUGGGGAUGUAUUUUCUUACUGUGGUCAUUGAGUAAUUCUUAUUCACUAUUUGCUUGCAAUUGCCUUUCUGAAUUUUUUUUUUCCUGUGCAGGCAGACUAUGCUUGAGCUUCUUCACAAGGUGGACCAGCCGGAUGAGCAUUCUGUGGAAAAUGGUGGUCAAUUUCGUCAUAGUCAGUCAUCUGCUUCUCAGGGGUUUAGUUUACAGCUGGCUCCGCCAUCUCAACCAGCUCCCUCACCUGAUAAUGUGCAGUUUUCUAUGAAUUCUUUGCAGCCAUUGAAUUCACUUCAUAUUGCCCCUGAAAAAGGACCAACAAGUCAAUCAAGGUUUGCUCCAUGGGCAUCUAAUCAAUCUUUUCCACAGCAUUCCACUUAUCAAGGAGAAAGCAACAACGCCUCUGGUUUCCCAUAUUCCAAAGGGUAUCGCCAAAAUCAACUGAUGCCUGUUGAUACUCGACAAUUAACUUCUAACCAUUUAGUCAGUUCAUCCUCUGAGUUGUCAACCCUUCAAGUGAAAGAAAGAGAUCAAAGCAGUGACUAUUCAGCACAAACACCUUCCCUGCUAAAUCCUACGACCCACAACAACAAAGGAGAUUCAGCUGAAGGGUUUCGUAUGCUGUCUGCUCCUCAGCCUCAGGUUGUAUUCAGUUC
rnacentral:lncRNA from 1 species